rnacentral:rRNA from 1 species
GACGAACGCUGGCGGCGUGCUUAACACAUGCAAGUCGAACGAAGUGGCGAACGGGUGAGUAACGCGUAAUCAACCUGCCCUUCAGCGGGUGACAACAGUUGGAAACGACUGCUAAUACCGCAUACUGAAGGAGGUGAUUGCGUCUGAUUAGCUAGUUGGAGGGGUAACGGCCGACCAAGGCGAUGAUCAGUAGCCGGGCUGAGAGGAUGAACGGCCACAUUGGGACGGAGAGACGGCGCAGAACCCUACGGGAGGCAGCAGUGGGGAAUCUUCCGCAAUGGAGGAAAGUCGGACGGAGCAACGCGGCGAGAGGGAGGACGGCCUUCGGGGUGUAAAGCUCUGUUAAUCGGGACGCGGUACCGGAAUAGAAAGCCACGGCUAACUACGUGCCAGCAGCCGCGGUAAUUC